ACUCACCUGAUUUUAAUGACAUCAUUGUUACUUACAAUACGAACAGACUAAAUAAAAUGAGCAUCGUAACUUCAGACGAAUGUUUGCAGUGGUUUAUGAAAAAAAAAAUUAUUUCUUAAAUUAAAAGAGAUUAUUAAAUAACAAAACAAAAUACUAUUCAGGAAAAAUAUUUAAUACUUUUCCUUAAUACUUUUUAGGCCGGAUAUUUGAUAAAUUUUAGGUGAUCAUCAUGGUAAAGAUAUUUAUGAUGUAUUUACCUUACCAAAAUAUUUAGACUUAUUUUUAGUUUUUUUUUAAGUAAAAGAAAAAAAAGACAACGUUUUAAGAAAAUACGCCUCAGAGCGAGGUAACGCCACAUGAGUCGUGUUUAAUCGUGCGUGCAGCCGGCUCUAUCGAAUUAUAAGACGUUGUCACGUCAAUAAUAUAAAAAUAAGCUACAAAUCGUAUAUUUUUAUUAACUACAUUACAACUAAAACUUAACACUGUUUUUAAGAUGGAAAAACAAAAGAAAAUCAAACAAUCAAUAUUAAUUUAGUUUUUUUCUCCAAUAUUAUAUUUAAAAUUAGAAUAAUUCUCUCAAAGCUAAGUAAAGUAAAGCUGUAAUUCUAAAAAAAAAAAUGAAAAAGAAAAACAUAUCAUCCCGUUUGUUUGGAACUAUUGUCCCAUCUGUUGGCCGAAUGCCUAAUACCUGUACCACGAGCCGCGACGUGACCUCGACCUCUUUCCUAACGUAUUUCGGGAAAAAUAAGUCGAAUCGUAAGGUUAACGAAACAUUAUUAGAUUGGUGAAGAGAAUAGGCCUUAUUUUCUCAGUUUGAUCCUUCUUUCCAGAAACUUCUUCAUGCAACGUACUGAUAAACUGUUUUGACGUUUUAGAUUUAAGCAAGAGAGGUGUUUAGUAGAAUCAGUAUUAUGUUAUUACAGACGUAAAGAGUUAUGCGUGCUAUGAAAGUAAAUUUAUUCAUAGAUUUCAGAUACAUUACUUUAUCUGACACGAAUUUUUUCUAUCGUCUUUUUUCAUGUUACGACCCAAUUUCACUAAAAUCGAUAUAAUAUAAGAGUGGAUGUUUUUUCGUGAGAAAUCUGUGCACGUAAAAAACCAGAUGCGGGCAGAAUAAUUUUUCGCUCUCUGGCGACCGAGGUUUAAUUUGGGCGCACUCUCGACGCCCAACUACUUUAGAAUAGAUGAAGAAGCAGCGUUCAGUUUUCAGCGAAUUCAAAAUUCAUUAUCAAACUGUUAACGUAUUAAAUUUAUUUAAACUAGACUGGAUGAAAAAGUUUAUAGAAUUAUUAUAAAUUACCUAUAUACUGGAUGAAACAUAUUUUUUUUUACAAAUAAUUUGUAAUUGAUAUAAUUUAAAGUCAAUAUAUUUCAGUAUUUAAAGACAAA